rnacentral:lncRNA from 1 species
GUCUCCAGCCCCCAUAACCACUACCCGAGAAGGGAGUGGGAACAAGAGAGACCCCAGGGACAUCAGAGGAAUAUACAAAAAGGGGGCUAGAAGAGUCUAUAGAGGAUGAGGUACCAGUAUUGUAUUAGAAGCCAUAAUCAAUGAACCGUCUUAAAAAAUUUCAACAAACAGAGUACAACCAAACCAGAUAUUCACACAUAAAACCAAAUACUCACAUACAGAGUCAGAUAAUCACACACAAAGCAUACAAUACUCAAGAUAAGGACAGAGUUACCCUCUUUCUUCGCGAUCGGAGAAGAUCGGCCUUCAAACAACAGAGAAAACCGUAGGUACAAAACCCUAGGUGUAACCGUCAAAAUCCUUACUGGAAGUGUGGUCAGUGAUGUCGGAAAGGCACCCAAAACAUCCACUGAGUGAGAAUCGAGCCACCGAAAAGCAGUAAAACUCUAGGUUAAACCACCAGAAACCCUAGAAGCCGAUAGGUCACCAAAAAAUCACCCAAAAAUCAUCGGAAAAACUCCCAGAAUGUUCGAGUGGAGAAGAUAUACUCAGAUAUCACGAAGAAAAUCUCAGAAAAGCAUCCGAUUUAGGUCGGAAUCAUCAUCGACCAUAAAGUCUCAGAAACACCCCCAAAAAUCUCGAAACAGACUUCAUCCAAGACAACGAGACACAGAUAAACACAGUCGGAUCGUCGUCUAGGCUCUGAUACCAUGUAAACAUUGAGAUUAAACCGAAUAAUCAUGAGAAAUGUAGAGAGAGAAUCUAGAGAGAAGGAGGAGCGUUUGAGAACUCUCCAGAAGAUAGAGAGAGUUUAUUAAUCAGAACAGAGAAAGAAAA